AUUUAUGAACAUAUCAUAUUGAAUACAGACAUCUCAUCCGGUCUAUCAGGUUAGGCAAGUUCGCGUGGUUAGUAUUUGGAUCGAUAGACGGCCUGAAAAUCCCAGAUUUUGUGGAAA
rnacentral:rRNA from 1 species